GGGAUGUAUUAUCUGCUGGUAACAACUCCAAUUCUCUAAUUAGACAGAUAGUCGAGGGAUCAAACCUUGAAAGGUACACAAACAUGCCAGCAUCUGUACAGUGGGGGAUAGAUCACGAGGACACAGCCCGAGUGAAGUACUCUAUGAUGAAACAAGUACUGGGGGACAGCUUUAGAAUCGACCCUACUGGAUUGAUGCUCUGCAGUACCCAUACUUUUCUAGGUGCAUCCAGUGACGGGAGGGUAACAGAAGAGAACAGCACAGGCGUGCUUGAAAUAAAAUGCCCAUACUCCAUAAAGGGUACUUUGGUAAAUGCCAUGGAAAUACCAGAUAUCCUUGCAAUGGAAGACAAGAGCUUUUGUCUUGAAAAUACUAGUGAAGGACCAAAGUUAAAGUCAUCCCACAAGUAUUAUGCCCAAGUACAGGGAGAAAUGGCCUUGAUGAGUGCCCCAUGGUGCGAUUUUGUUGUUUGGACUGCGGCAAAAUCCAACAAUAUAUGUGUUGAUAGGGUUCUAUUUGAUCCAGAAUUUGUGGCUUCAAUGAUGCCAAAACUUGUUCAAUUUUAUAUGAAAUUCAUAUUCCCAGUGUAUUAUGAUCAAAAUUAAUUUCCAUUUCACAGAGUAUCCAGUAUUCAUAAAACAAGUAUUAUGAAAUUGAAUGCAAUAGGUAUCAUGUGAGUGUACAUGAAUCAUGGUCACAGAUAAUGGUAUAUCAUAUUGCUUAUAAAUGAAAAAGACUUGUCUGAAACAUUUUUGUUAUGCAAAAUACUCUUUUUGGCUUUUCUGAAAGCUAUAAAAUGGAAAAACGAUAUAUUGUCAGACAACCAGACUUUGUUUGACCAUUAAGGUGGCUCACUACACCCAGAAAUAGUUUCUCAAAUUAGCACGAAUUGAUUUAAUUAUAAAAGAUAUGAAGAUAUGAUGAAUUACAAUAAGUAUAUAUGCCAAAAAGGCAAAUUUGGAUAAAAACAUGAUUUUAAAAAAAAAUAUUUCAACACAUUUAAACAAGAAACUCUGGGGAAUUUGAACUUGAGAUAUGCUGUUCACCAGCCCAAUGCUUUAACCACUGAGCUACAAUGAUAGACAAACGAAUCGAUCGAUACAAAUAAUGUCACAAAACAUUUAAAUCGCCGUCUUGUGACAUGGUGUCAUACAGAGUAUAAGCUUUAGUGUAGUGAGCAACCUUAAGGUAUUCUGUUUAUAAUGCCCAAUGUAAUCACAUUAAAUUCAUGGAUAAAAUUGUUAAAGCCAGUAUACAACCGAGUAAAGCUUAGGGUCACUAUUUGAAGGUAAAUACUUGUCAUGUACAGUAAAUCAUGGUUAUAGCAAACUUCCAGGGUCAGCGAAAAACAAUUUAUUGUAAUCAAACUUAAGUGUACCUUAUCCGUUUACCUGAUCAGGUUUUACUGUAUUACAUGUAUACCACAAGGGGAAUUUUACUUAUCUUCCACAAGGGGUACAUCAAGAUUCGAGAGCCAACAGCAUACUUGAAAUAACUUACUGACAAGUGGUAUCAUUGACAAUGGCAAAACACCAUCAAAAAUAUGAAAGUUUUUUACUCGGCCUAUACUGCGCUCUACAUGUAUACGGAGCUGUGCAAUUUCCUGAGUAUUAUAUACAUCUUCCACAGUAAAUUGAUGGUCAUUACGUAAAAAAGGGGGGAUAUUAAGAUAGCAUCCUCUCUGUUUAAGCAAAUCUGUUAUCGUGAAACCCUUAUCUGCCAUAACGCUAUCACCUGGUUCUAAAAGGUCCAAUAGGCCUGACUCUUCUGUGAUUUGUCAGUCAGAGACUUUUCCACCCCACCCCUCAGAAACAAAUGAUAUAAUACCAGAUGGAGUGAUGCCAACCAAAAAUUUAGCUGUAUUAUGAUUCUUGUAAUUUGAAAAUGUUAAUGACUGAUUUGUUAAACUGGAUGAUUUUUGAAUAAAUAUUUCAGUGCAGUCUAUAAUGAUA